CAAACACCUCUACACAUAUCACACCGCAAGUGGAUAUAGCCGUAACCCUAAGGCGCUCAGCUUUGAGAGGCUUUGGCCAAGAGUAAAUAUCUUGGAGAAUACGGGGGGGGGAAGACGGGUGCCAGCCGCCGCGGUAACACCCGCGCCACGAGUGGGAGCCGCUAUUUUUGGGCCUAAAGCGUCCGUAGCCUGUCGAGUAAAUUUUUUGGAAAAUUGUUAAGCUCAACUUAACAACAACGUGCAAAAAACACUGCUCGACUUGGGACCGGGGGGAGUCAGAGGUAUUCCUGGGGGAGGGGUAAAAUGCUUUAAUCCCAGGAGGACCGCUUAUGGGGAAGGCUUCUGACCAUAACGGAUCCGACGGUGAGGGACGAAAGCUAGGGGAGCAAUCCGGAUUAGAUCCAUCUUUUAGGCAGGGGAAAAGCUGGACCAAAAACCCAGCUGGGGCAACAUUCACAUAGUGAAGUUCCCCGAACAUCAAAGUUUAGAUCGUUAAUCAUUCUACAAGACCUGAGAUGUUAUUAUAACGCCAAAAAGGUGCUAUUUACCCGAGUAGUCUUAGCAGUAACCUCUGGAGGUUGGGGGUUGUCCAAUCUUAGAGGUGGACAGUUUCUUAGCGAAGGGUUAACUCCCCGCCUGGAAGGACGGCCAAGGUUAAACUUAAAGAAUUGGGGGGAAAGGGCAAUUCCCGGCCCCUAAUUAAUUCCCCUUAUGGGGGCGUUUUCAAUUCCCUGGCGGUUUUUACAA
rnacentral:rRNA from 1 species